AACGAACGCUGGCGGCAUGCCUAACACAUGCAAGUCGAACGAGACCUUCGGGUCUAGUGGCGCACGGGUGCGUAACGCGUGGGAACCUGCCCUUAGGUUCGGAAUAACUCCCCGAAAGGGGUGCUAAUACCGGAUAAUGUCUUCGGACCAAAGUUUUAUCGCCUUUGGAUGGGCCCGCGUUGGAUUAGCUAGUUGGUAGGGUAAAAGCCUACCAAGGCGACGAUCCAUAGCUGGUCUGAGAGGAUGAUCAGCCACACUGGGACUGAGACACGGCCCAGACUCCUACGGGAGGCAGCAGUGGGGAAUAGUGGACAAUGGGCGAAAGCCUGAUCCAGCAAUGCCGCGUGAGUGAUGAAGGCCUUAGGGUUGUAAAGCUCUUUUACCCGGGAUGAUAAUGACAGUACCGGGAGAAUAAGCUCCGGCUAACUCCGUG
rnacentral:rRNA from 1 species